CUUUUAUUGAAUAUUGACUAUUACAUGUCAUAUUUUUAUUGGACGUUAAUUUUAUACACUUAAUUAACGUUAACAUCCAAUAAAAAUGUAACACAUGACAAUCAAAGUUU
rfam:Glycine soja cultivar W05 scaffold2518_5, whole genome shotgun sequence.